rnacentral:lncRNA from 1 species
AAAAUGAGUAGAAAUUACUAAUUCACUAUCAAUAUAGUCUGACAAUAGGACUGAUAACCUAGAGACCAUAUUAAGCAUACAAUUAAAUUCUGCGGUUUGAUUAGUGUCUAAGAGUGUACAUUUUUCUCUUGGAUCUGAGUUUGUAGAGCUUCGGUUAUUACUGAAACAAUAAAAUCACUUGUUUCCAGACAUGUGGGGAAAAUGGCCUCAAAGCUUAAAAAAUAACUAAUUUGGGGUCAAGAUUCAGUGUUUAUUUUAAAAGAUAGAAAUCUUAAAUUUCAAUUCAAAUCAUCGAAAUUAAUUUAUAUAUAUAUGAAUCAUGGAAAUGAUAAAUAAUGCAACUUAUUCCCAGUAGGUCUAUUUCAACUUUCUUACUUACAUUUGUCAAAACUGAGGCAGACAUUAGUAGAGACUCAUAUUGCAAUUGUGCAAGGAACACAAUGAUUUUCUGCCUUAGAGCAGACCAAAUGGAACCCCAGAAUUUAUCCUAAUUUGUUCCGUAAAUAAUUGAGGGGAUUAGGAGUUCCCGUCACGGCUCAGUGGAAACAAAUAUACCUAGCAUCUAUGAGGAUACAGGUUUGAUCCCUGGCUUUGCUCAUUGGGUUAAGGAUCUGGGGUUGCAGUGGGCUGUGGUGUAUAGUGUAGGUCACAGAUGCGGCUUGGAUCCUGUGUUGCUGUGGCUGUGGUGUAGGCCAGCAGCUGCAGCUGUGAUUUGACCCCUUAGCCUAGGAACCUUCAUAUGCCUCAGGUGUGGCCCUCAAAAGACAAAAACAAAAAACAAGCAAAAAAAAGAAUUUGGGGGAUUAAACAACAAGGAUUUAUUGCAUAGCAUAGGAAACUAAAUUCAAUACCUAAUAUCUUAUAAUAACCUAUAAUGGAAAAGAAUCGAAAAAAAGAAUACGUGUGUGUGUGUAUGUGUGCGUAUGUAUUAUGCUGAAUCAAUUUGCUCUACACCUGAAACUAACACAAUAUUGUAAAUCAACUAUACUUCAGUUUUAAAAAGUAGCAUAUUUUUUAAAAAUUUGAGGGAAUUGAGACAAAUACUUUGGCUAUAUGGGGUUGAUAGUAACAGAGCAGAAGAAUUUCUCAAACAUGUGGCCAAACUCCAUGCAGAGGAAUGGGGAAUGGGUCCCUGGUGGAGGCAGGCUGUAGGUAAAGAGGUCUUUCCUUGCAGAAGCAAAGUUCUUUGUCUCUUAUCCAAGAUUCUAGGGUGGAAUUACACAGUCUGGGAAGGAUGUUAGUGGUACUCUAGCUCUCACAGGGGGAGGGGCAAGAUGGCUACACAGAUUGAGGGAAGUGCAACUUUGAAUAGCUCCAUUUGUUUAGAGAAGACCCACUCUCAGCCCAUGUGGUCUAGAUCGGCUGAUGUCAUUAUUAGUUUCUGGGAUGGGCCCUUAUUGGUCUACAUCAAUGACCAUAUUCUGUCCCCCUGCUCAUGGUUUAGGGGUGAAAAUAAGACCCAAACAAUGAGGUUUUUUAUGAAUUUCAUGAAGAAAGGUACUUUUUUCUCCUAGACUCCAGUAAGAGAAUAUGUGAAGAAGAGUUGCAGCCACUUUGCUCUAGAUUUUGAACACAAUGUCUGUACUGAGGACUUUGGAGCCAAGAACUGGAGAGAGAAGUCAGAUCCUGGUGACAUUGUUAUAGUUCUGGCAUCAGGCUUUGCUGAGAUAGAAGUAAUGUGCUGUGGAGCAGUAAUAUUAGUGAGAGGAAAAGGGAAGAAGCAGGAUUGGGCCAGGGGACUAUCGGAUAGUUCUCACAGCACUAAUGGAUUAAUUUCUUAAUUGAGUAUUUCAGGCUUUCAGACAUGCAGUUGGCCUCACUACCUUAGAAGUGUGCUUGUCUUAAGCCUAUCAUUAAGAGGGCUGCUGCCCAUUUAUUUGUCUUAUUUGUGAGGGCAGCUCUAUUUCCAAAUUCUCUUUCAUUCUGUCUAGCCCUUAAUUUCAUAUCUCUCCAGUGAGACAAAUUAUUUGAUAGAAGUUAUAAAUACCGACUAAAGGAAGCAGAACUGAGAAAAAGAAAUGUCAAGUCGCUUAUUUCCGUGGGUCUCAGUUUCCUUUCUUGACAAAUGAGAGGGUGGGUCAGGUUAUGUCUAAGGUCCUUCCAGCCCUUAGAUUGUGAAAGCAAUUUUGACAUAAUGAUUUCAAUUUCAAGUCCAUGUUCGAAGAAUACAGGUUAGUGAUAUGAGAGUUAAUGAAACUAAUAUGGAAUUAAAAGAAGAACCAAUUAAAAUUGGAUUUCAAGGGCCAAGAAUACUAUGGAAUACACUUGCAAGAGGAAGCCGGAGUUGGAAACAGUGUGGGAAAAAUGAAGAAUAGAAUGAUAGUUUAUUCUGGUUCUCUGGCGAGAAACAUAUGUUUCAAUAGAAAAACAGAGGAGGUAAGAAUAAUUAAUUCAUUUAUUCCAUUAGGUAUGUGUUGGGAAUCCUUUAUAUGCUAGACCAGUACAGUAGGCGUUAGAGAUACAUAGCUAUAAAAGACAUAUCAUCCCUUUCCUUGAGAAGCCAAUAAUCCAUCAUGGAGACAUAUUAACAGAUAAAUACCAUAGUCUAACAAGUGCUUCAUUGAAAUAGAAAAGUCACAAAUGGGAGGUCAAAACGAUCAUUAUGUUAUAACGCAGAUUUGUAGAGGAGUUUGUAUCAAAGACAACACUAUUUUAACUCUAUAACUAGACUUUCUUUACAGUUUCUUUGAUGAGUUAUUCACACACUACAUUUAUAAUGCCUAAAUAGAAUUUUUAUGAUUAAAUUAUUUAUUAAUUUAACAAAAUACAUGCAAUGCCAAAUUUUAAAUUUAGGACCAAAUUUUACUCUUUUUUUUUGGUGGGGGGAAGAUGGGAAGAGGGAGAUAAAGCUCUUAAAAAUUAAAUCUAGUGAUUGCUAGAACAAUCUUUACCAAGCUCAGCCAAUAGCUUGUUAUACUCUAAAUAUAACUUGUCAUUUUGUGACAAAAUCCAAUUUUUAGAUUAACUGAAAAUCCAUUUUAAUUUUCAAUUGUUUAGUAUACCUGAAAACCAAAAAUUUAUAGAAUGAACUUUCAUAUUUAUUUUGUGUCAGGUGAUAGGGAAUUAUAUCCUUUGUGUCCCUAGAAAUUGGUAAGAUUGAUGAAUGGAUUAUGCAGGCAUUCAGAAUUCAGUUCAGACCCUAUUAAUAAUGCAUUGUCUCCACUUACUUUAGCUUACCAUGAUUUCACGUCAUUUCUGAACAUCACCCACAAAGAAAUUUAAUUCAUUGAUUUAAUGGCACCAAAGUGAUUCUAGAGGGUAGGUGUUUGAUAGUUAACAUAUUUCAUGACUGGUAAUUGUUCUUACUGACUUACAGAAAUUAUCAAAAUAAUUUGUACUUUAGAGAUUAAAAUGCAACAUUUAAUUUUUAACGUAAGGAGUGAGCAACAUUUAAAGCCCGGAGUGGAGGACAAAAAACAUAAUGAGGAGAAAAAUUAAAAGAACAUAAUAAUGUUAUAACUGUUUCAACAGCAUUCUCUUUCUAAGGCUUAGCUACAGACAGCCAAGCAAAAAUAAAUCGCCUUAAUGUAGCCAAGUGAAUGUAAUCAAAUUUUCAAUUAAAAAAAAGGUAGGUGAAUUUAACUUGUUUUUGCCAAUUUCCAAUUCUUUCUAGGCAUGCUUCCUUUUUUUACGU